AUUGAACGCUGGCGGCAGGCCUAACACAUGCAAGUCGAACGAGCGGCGGGCGGGGGAGUAAUAUAUGUGGGAUGGCCUUAUGGAGGGGGAAAACCUGGAGACGGUGGCUAAUACCGCAUACUACAGGAUGAACCCCUAUGGGAUUAGCUAGUAGGGGGGGUAAAGGCUCACCUAGGCGACGAUCCCUAGCUGGUCUGAGAGGAUGACCAGCCACACUGGAACUGAGACACGGUCCAGACUCCUACGGGAGGCAGCAGUGGGGAAUAUUGCACAAUGGGCGCAAGCCUGAUGCAGCCAUGCCGCGUGUAUGAAGAAGGCCUUAGGGUUGUAAAGUACUUUCAGUGGGGAGGCGUUAUCCGCAGAAGAAGCACCGGCUAACUCCGUGCCAGCAGCCGCGGUAAUUC
rnacentral:rRNA from 1 species